AUCUCUAACAAAUCCCAAUUUGAAUCCAGCUAAGCCUCACCCAGAAUCCACCAGGUAUGCUACUGAAUCCACAGCAGCUUGUUUCAGAAAA